UGUGCACCACCCUCUCACCCAAACGAAGGCAGCUGGCCCUGAAGUUCUCUGAGCUUGAGGACAAAAAAAGACCUCUGUGAGUUGUCAGGCUCUGUUACAGUCUGGGUCAGCAGACAAGAGUCCCAGGGCUCGGCCGUCUUCUCUAGGAGAGAAAAUAUUCGUGCCAUAUAGCGUGUUCUAAGAGUUCUCACCAGAAGCCCAGAAAGUUCUGUAUUUACUCAGCAUUCAAGGGAAAACAGACCCUGUAUUUUUGGGAUUCCUGAAAGGUGACCAGAGGAAUAUCCACAGAAGCAGAAGUAGGAAUGGGGAAGGAGGGGACAAGUUUAGACCAAGCUCUUCUGUGACCUCACUUCUGCUUUUGAAGUCCCACAGCUCUAUAAGGCUCCCCAACUAAGGAGACAUUGACCUUGAGAUUUUGUAUAUAAACCACCAUGGAUCCCAGAG
rnacentral:lncRNA from 1 species